UAAAGUUGGUACGUGUAUGUCAAAAAUAGUUUGUUUUCAGCGAAAUUCAAUCUUGUGGUUACCACAAUAUAGAGCACAAUGCCACUUGACUGUAAUUAUCUAAAGUCUCAAGCACGUACACUAUGUACUACCAGUAAAAAUAUCUAGACUGCAGCUCCCUCUUUUUUCCUCUCUCUUCCCGUCUUUCUCCGCCUCUCUCCCUCCUCACUUUCUCCGUUUAUUCCUCUCCCUCAACGUUGCCGGCCGAUCCACCACAUCGUCGACGGCCUAUCCACAACAUCGUCGCAGGCCUUCUUUUUCCCUCGAGUUGCCGGCCAGAUCCACGAUGCCAUCACCAUGGAGGUCCUCCUGGAGGGCGAAGACGUGGAGGCGGUGGUGGUAUUCGGAGGCGAGCAGCUUGAGGCGGAGAGAGUGGUCGGAGACGGGGAGGCCGAGUGAGCCACGGAUGGAUUCGCCUCGCUCGCCAUCUCCUCCUCUCCAUCUCGCCUCCCUCCCGCGGUAGAUCCGGCAUCGAUGGCGGCGUCGGCGGCGGCCGCGGGUGGAUCCGGCGGCGGAUGAGGACGGAUCCAGCGGCGACGGCUCCCUCUGCCCCCUCUCUCCUCCCUCCCACGGUGGAUCUGACAGCGGGGACGGCGACCGCGUGUGGAUCCGGUGGCGGUGGCGCUGGCUGAGAGUGGAUCGGGUGGCAGCAGCUUCCUCCUGCGGCGGAUUCGAGGGCAGCGGCUCCUCUAGCAGUUAUCCGGUGGCUGCUGCUCCCCCCUCCCCGGAGUGGCGGCCGACAGCUGCUUCCCUCCCCUGGUGUUGGCAGCAACUCCCCGCCUCCCUGGCUGCCCCUCACCUCCCCGACGUGGAGCCGACGGUGGUUUGAUUUUUUUAUUUGUGAAUAUUUUGAGGAUUUUGUGAUUUGGAAUGUUGAUAUAGUAACCACAGUACGACGCCGGUUUGAUUUGGGAUGUUGAUUUUGUGGAGAUUUUUUAUUUUGGUUUGGGAUUGCAAUUGAGUAAUUUUGUUAUUCAUGUAUUUUGGGAAUUAGGGGCAAUGGGAUUGGGAGCAAUUGACUCGAUUAGCCGAUUGAUCGAGUUGGCUUCUUUUAUUUUCACUCCAAUGCCGAUUGAUAUAUAUUUGUUUUCUUUUUCGGCUUCUUUUGAGUCCGCUCGGGAAAAAAAAAUUUCAAGACGGUCUCGGAUUCAAACACGGACGACGGACGAAAAAAAUUGAUCGGAAGCAUUAUGUGACAACCGGAAAAAUCCAAAUAUUUAUAUUAGUUAUAGAUAUAGAUAUUCCCAUAUGAACCAAAUAAUAAUCGGUGACAAUAAUAGUUACCCCCGAGGUCAUAGAAUUGUCAUAGAGGUAGAAAUUGGAUCGAUGCUUCCACAACGAAAUCGGCAAAUGGAUCAUGAUAAUAAUUAAUUAAUGUGCCUCCACAGGAAACGAUUUGGAGCGCUUUUGGGUUGGAUGGGCCUAGUUUUUGGAACAUGGGCCAUUCACGGAGCUCGCCCCUGCCACAGAUUAUGAUCGAUUUACAUUUUAAUCCUUGGAUUGCCUCUCGUCUUCCUGCCGCUCCGCUCGCCGUCGCCGCCGCACCGGCGGCGAACAGCGGCGGCUAAUUGGCCUUCCUGACGCCAUUGGAAGCGCAAGGUUGGAUUCUGCUUGCACUGACAUGCAAUGCCCAGUGGGCAGGGGCGACGCGCACCAAGAAGAAACUUGUGUCCAAUAUUCAAGAAGGAAAUGUGAGUUUGACAAAAAGAUGUGGAUCGAACAUCUCGAAGUUGAAACCACACAAAAAUGUCUGUCAUUGUGAUAUCGGUGUUUGGUUGCGAGGAAGAGCACUGUGUCUCUAUCAGUCAUUGGUUUUCGAUAACCCGAUGAGGAGCGAUUUUCUACUCGAAAACGGAAAGGUAAACCCGGAUUGUGUGUGUGAAUGUGUUCCAAGUUUAGUUCGAGUACGCAUACAAAUUAGCUGAUAUCAAGAGAGCUUAGGACUUAUUCGGUUUGAAGGAAUUUCCAUCCAUAGAAAAAGGGAAAAUAUAGAAAUAGAAAUGCAUGCAUGAAUUUUCCAAAAGAUUUAAGUGGAUAAAAAUUUCUUUAUGUCUUCUCUCUACAACUCGUAGAUAUUCUCCUGUGCUUACAAUCCUACAAACUAAAUAACACUCAUAUAAAUUAAUUCUUAGAAAUCUAAACACACUGUCGAUUGAGAUCAUAUUAUCAGAGAGACGGGUAUACGUACGCACCUGAUCAACAAAAUAGCUGCAUUUCCCUCUCGCAUUCCUCGAUCUCUUGCACUGGCUAUAUUAGCUGGGUACGUACUGACUCUGUUCGUGGUGUGUUCCAUAGCUUUGUGUGCCCAACAGGGAAGGAGUGAAACUGUCACAGCAUGAUCUAACCAUCACGUACUCAGAAGAAGCCUCAGCUAGCCGCCUUCCUGUUCGAAACCAGCGAGCUGAGCUGAUUUCUUGUCUGCAAGUUAGAUCAUGCUGGCAGCUUCACGCUUUCUCUUGGGCACCGGAGGAUCGAUUCGAUUCGAUCGACAUUGACACUCUCUCGCGCACCCAGCUAGCUGCUCGUUUAUAAAGACGGCGAAUCCAUCGACGAAGAAGAAGACGAGGAGGAGGAGGAGGAGGAGGGGAUCGAGCGGUGACAUGCACAUGGGGGGGCAGAUGGAUGGAUCGAUCGAUCGGCGGCGUAGUUUAUCGCGGCCAUGUCGCUGGCCAGGAGGAGGAGGAGGAAUCCGAGAGGCGAUGGCAGCGUGCGGGUGCGGGUGUGUCGCCAAUGAGCGGCAAGUCAAAGGGCGGGGUGGGCACAUGCGACAGUGGGAGUGGGGCGUGUCGUGGCGCGACGUGGAGGAGGAGAACGUGGUGUCCUCUCGGGCUUCCUCCCCGGCAGGAAUUAACUGCCCGUCUUUUCUGUCUCGAGAAGCCAAACCGCAUUUUGUAAACAAAUUUUUUUUUUUUUUUGGUUUACUGCAACAACAGCAGCAGCCGCCUAGUGGUACUCCUUCGGUUAGGCUUUUUAAGGUUAUGCCAUUUAUCUAAAAUAACACGGUGUGUUUAGUUGCAAAUUUUUUUUUUCAAACUUUCAACUUUUUCAUCACA